rnacentral:tRNA from 1 species
GGAGGUUUAGCUCAGAGGCAUAAGCGCCUGCUUUGCAAGCAGGCAGUCCUGAGUUCGAUCCCCAGUACCGAUA